GAUGAACGCUAGCUACAGGCUUAACACAUGCAAGUCGAGGGGCAGCAUGGUCUUAGCUUGCUAAGGCCGAUGGCGACCGGCGCACGGGUGAGUAACACGUAUCCAACCUGCCGUCUACUCUUGGACAGCCUUCUGAAAGGAAGAUUAAUACAAGAUGGCAUCAUGAGUCCGCAUGUUCACAUGAUUAAAGGUAUUCCGGUAGACGAUGGGGAUGCGUUCCAUUAGAUAGUAGGCGGGGUAACGGCCCACCUAGUCUUCGAUGGAUAGGGGUUCUGAGAGGAAGGUCCCCGACAUUGGAACUGAGACACGGUCCAAACUCCUACGGGAGGCAGCAGUGAGGAAUAUUGGUCAAUGGGGGCAGGCCUGAACCAGCCAAGUAGCGUGAAGGAUGACUGCCCUAUGGGUUGUAAACUUCUUUUAUAAAGGAAUAAAGUCGGGUAUGGAUACCCGUUUGCAUGUACUUUAUGAAUAAGGAUCGGCUAACUCCGUG
rnacentral:rRNA from 1 species